rnacentral:lncRNA from 1 species
CCUUUUUCUUUGUUUGCUUCAAUCUCUUGUGAUUCCUCAGUUAAGGAAGCCUGAGCAAUAAUGGUUUCUUGAUCUAUAACAGCUUUAGGCUCCUGAGGUCCUUCCUUUUCGAGAAGUUCCACUUCCUUCACCUUUUCCCCCUCUUCUUCAUUGGCCUCAGCUCCAUGCUUUAGGUUCUCUUCAGUCAAUUCUGAGGAAGACUGACCAGAAGCAAUUUCUUCUCUAGUAACUAAUUGAAGCUCAUUUAGCUUUUCUGUUUCUCCAGCUGACGAGUCUUCAAAUUUCCCAUCGUCAAGCUUUUUGGCUUCUUUCCUUUUCUCUUCGUUUGCUUCAAUCUUUUGUGAUUCCUCUGUUAUUGAAGCCUGAACUAUAAUGGUUUCUUGAUCCAUAACAGCUUCAGGCUCCUGAGGUCUUUCCUUUUCGAGAAUUUCCACUUCCUUCACCUUUUCUUCCUCUUCUUCACUGGCCUCAGCUCCACGCUUUAGGUUCUCAACAGUCAAUUCUGAAGGCAAAGAUUGCUCACUUGAUUCCUCCACUUGGGGACAUUGAGCAGUGGC